ACUCCUACGGGAGGCAGCAGUGGGGAAUAUUGCACAAUGGGGGAAACCCUGAUGCAGCCAUGCCGCGUGUGUGAAGAAUGCCUUCGGGGUUGUAAAGCACUUUCAGUAGGGAGGAAGGUAGUGUAGUUAACACCUGCAUUAUUUGACGUUACCUACAGAAGAAGCACCGGCUAACUCCGUGCCAGCAGCCGCGGUAAUACGGAGGGUGCGAGCGUUAAUCGGAAUUACUGGGCGUAAAGCGCAUGCAGGCGGCCUGUUAAGUCAGAUGUGAAAGCCCGGGGUCUUAACCUCGGAAUUGCAUUUGAAACUGGCAGGCUAGAGUCUUGUAGAGGGGUUAGAAUUUCAGGUGUAGCGGUGAAAUGCGUAGAGAUCUGAAGGAAUACCAGUGGCGAAGGCGGCCCCCUGGACAAAGACUGACGCUCAGAUGCGAAAGCGUGGGAGCAAACAGGAUUAGAUACCCCUGGUAGACUGUCA
rnacentral:rRNA from 1 species